rnacentral:rRNA from 1 species
AUUGAACGCUGGCGGCAUGCUUUACACAUGCAAGUCGAACGGUAACAGGCCGCAAGGUGCUGACGAGUGGCGAACGGGUGAGUAAUGCAUCGGAACGUGCCCAGUCGUGGGGGAUAACUACUCGAAAGAGUAGCUAAUACCGCAUACGAUCUAUGGAUGAAAGCGGGGGACCGUAAGGCCUCGCGCGAUUGGAGCGGCCGAUGUCAGAUUAGGUAGUUGGUGGGGUAAAGGCUCACCAAGCCAACGAUCUGUAACUGGUCUGAGAGGACGACCAUCCACCCUGGGAGUGAGACACGGCCCAGACUCCUACGGGAGGGAGCAGUGGGGAAUUUUGGACAAUGGGCGCAAGCCUGAUCCAGCAAUGCCGCGUGCAGGAAGAAGGCCUUCGGGUUGUAAACUGCUUUUGUACGGAACGAAACGGCUCUGGUUAAUACCCGGGGCUAAUGACGGUACCGUAAGAAUAAGCACCGGCUAACUACGUG